GCCUUUGAUGACCUUAUGUUUGCAGAACAGGUGAAUAUUUGCCUGAUAUCUGUUGAUAUUUCUCAUGAACUAGGACGGUCUGAGGU
rfam:Setaria italica strain Yugu1 chromosome IV, whole genome shotgun sequence.